rnacentral:rRNA from 1 species
UACAGAGGGUGCAAGCGUUAAUCGGAAUGACUGGGCGUAAAGGGCACGUAGGCGGCUAGAUGUGUUAUAGGUGAAAUCCCCGGGCUUAACCUGGGAACUGCCUAUAAAACUGUUUGGCUAGAAUAUAGGAGAGGUAAGUGGAAUUUCCGGUGUAGCGGUGAAAUGCGUAGAUAUCGGAAAGAACACCAGUGGCGAAGGCGACUUACUGGCCUAAUAUUGACGCUGAGGUGCGAAAGCGUGGGAAGCAAACGGG